rnacentral:rRNA from 1 species
GACGAACGCUGGCGGCGUGCCUAACACAUGCAAGUCGAGCGAGGGACUUCGGUCCCUAGCGGCGGACGGGUGAGUAACACGUGGGUAACCUGCCUCAUAGUGGGGGAUAGCCUUCCGAAAGGAAGAUUAAUACCGCAUAUACUCUCGAUACCGCAUGGUAUUUAGAGGAAAGGAGCAAUCCGCUAUGAGAUGGACCCGCGGCGCAUUAGCUAGUGGGUGAGGUAAUGGCUCACCAAGGCGACGAUGCGUAGCCGACCUGAGAGGGUGAUCGGCCACAUUGGAACUGAGACACGGUCCAGACUCCUACGGGAGGCAGCAGUGGGGAAUAUUGCACAAUGGGCGAAAGCCUGAUGCAGCAACGCCGCGUGAGUGAUGAAGGCCUUCGGGUUGUAAAGCUCUGUCUUUUGGGACGAUAAUGACGGUACCAAAGGAGGAAGCCACGGCUAACUACGUGCCAGCAGCCGCGGUAAUAC